AUUGAACGCUGGCGGCAGGCCUAACACAUGCAAGUCGAACGAGUGGCGGACGGGUGAGUAAUGUCUGGGAAACUGCCUGAUGGAGGGGGAUAACUACUGGAAAAGGUAGCUAAUACCGCCUACCAUCGGAUGUGCCCAGAGGGGAUGAGCUAGUAGGUGGGGUAAAGGCUCACCUAGGCGACUAUCCCUAGCUGGGCUGAGAGGAUGACCGGCCGCAGUGUGCCUGUGACACGGGCCAGCCUCCUCCGGGAGGCAGCAGUGGGGAAUAUUGCGCAGUGGGCGCAAGCCUGGUGGAGCCAUGCCGCGUGAAGGAAGAAGGCUUUAGGGUUGUAAAGUACUUUCAGCUGAGAAGCGUUACCCGCAGAGGAAGCACCGGCUAAGUCCGUGACAGCCGCCGCGGUAAUAG
rnacentral:rRNA from 1 species